UGAUUUUACCGUCACGAUAGAACCAAACCCUCGCUAGCCCUACCUCGUCUCCCGUCUCCAGUCGCAGCCGGUGAUCUCCUCGCCCCCCUGCGCAGUCGCCCAAGGCAAGGGACGGGAAGGGAAGGCAAGGGAAGGGAAGGGAAGGGAGAGGGAGCGCCCAGAUCCACGGCGGCAUCAGCGCGCCGUCGUCGACCUGAUCCGCGUCCGUCCUCGAGGGAGGUCGGCCAUGGAGGUCCGACCCGGCCCGGCAGCAGCCAUGGACGGACGGAGACGCCCCAAACCCUACCCUCAAGGACGAGGCCUCAACCUUCAAGGACGCGCGCCGGCGACCGCGGAUCUCCGGUGACGGCUAUGAUGAUGAAUAUAGAGAACGAUACGUCGUUGAUAUCCUGAAAUCAGCUGUCCGGUUUGAUUUUUGAGGCCUUGGUGAUAGAUGUUCUCGAUUGUGAUGCCCAGGCCUGUCUGCCGCAAUUGUGUGUUUGUUGCUGCUGAGGCAUUCCUUUCCUCAGUGGUUAGACGGACUUUGGGGACACAAAUUUUGUGUGAAGUGAACCACAGGGCCUUCAUUCUAAUCAUCAAGAUGGCAAGACUGAUUUACGUCAGUCAUCCUUCUGUUUUACUUGGUUAGUAUAUGCUCUUGCAAUCAUACACUUUCAGAUAUUAUAAGGUCACAGUUUUUCUCCUAUAAUAAUGUAGCAUGUUCAUGCUUGUGUCGAGCAAGAACUAUUUCCCACAAACAAAGAGAGAAAUCUAAAGCACUCUUUUUGGUAACUUUUGUUACAUUAGUGUUGAAGAAUAGAAACUCUUUCUUGUUAAGAGACCAUUUGUCUGGUAUUUAUACCUGUACACCAGCCACGCAAAGCAUCACUGUUCUUCGAAAAGAGACACUGCACUUUGUGUUAACACUAUCCUUGCACCCCUGCAUCAAAUUUCACUAUUCACUGAAACUAUCAGAACAAAAGAAACAUAUGGUUCUACAUAACUUGAUGGCUACGAGUUUAUUUCUAAUGAGUUUGUUGGUUCUUUUGCUUGACUCUAAUCCCUGCGCAGCUCUCUCAUGGAGGAACAAUAGUUUAGUGGAUGAUAUUGGUACACCGUCUCCAAUCCCUUCUCCUAAUGGAGCAAUUGGUAGUCUCCGUUCUGUUUUUUUUUUCCGUCCCACCUACCACUUCGUCUGGGUUUUUCGUUGUUUUUUUCGUCAUAUAUCUAUCGACCGCCUGGUUGCCACCUGACGAAUCUGUUUUUAUUUAUUAUUAGGUACCUGAAACCUGAUCUGAUGAAGUUGCUUGUCAAUCUACCUUCCUUUGAUGAACUAGAAGGCCAAGAGACAUGGGUGGAUCCAGCAUGGGGCAAGGAUGUACAGAUGUACACCCAAAAAUAAUCUCCUUCCAAGCUCCAACUCUGAAAUUUCAUUCCUUAAUUUGAUUCAUUGUGAAAUCCCAACUUAGUGUAUAGUUUCUAUCCGUUUCAGCGAGAAAUAGCUAUUGAUGUCACUGAAAGGAGUUAGGAUCUGUUGAUUAUUAGCAAAAAAAAUAAAAAAUGAAUUAUAUUUUAAUUGUAGGCAGUAGAGCAUUCAAACCUCAAGAGGAAGAAAAUUGAUUUGAAAACAUUAUGGAGUAGAGAUGGGAAGAAAUAUAUGGCAUGUAUUCAGGUUGAGCAGCAAGUGCAGGUGUAGAACAAUUCCUCAUCCAAUCAACUUCAUCCGCAACGGCUACAGAUUUUUAGUGCCAUGAACACAAGUCCAAUCGCAGAAUCUUACAUUGAGCCGUGCACCAAUUGGCUCCUCUGUUAGGGUGAAUAUUUUUCUUGAACACCCAUUGUUAAAUUCAUGGAUCCGCCACUGCCAAGAGACCAAGGACUCAAGUGGGCGACUCCAAAAAUGGAUACUCCUGAAACUUUAGCCAGUGGCCAUGUUGAUGGUAUUUUUUGGAAACAGGGGAGGGCGUGUGUUAUUGUUCAAACCAUGCGCCUAUUUUUUUAAUCUUUUGCCAGUGACCACAUUGCCGCCUGAUUCUCGAGUGCAACCAAGAGGAAGGAUGGCACCGACAGUUGGGGCUCCGAGUAGGGCAAGUACCUUAUCUGCGAUCUUGGAUCGGGCUAUGUGAUGAAUCCAUUUGGGCAUGGUGAUUUUGGUGACGGAGGGAGAUCCCUGAUGCCAGCGUCGCCAUGGCUGAGAUGACAGAGAAGAAGGCCGACAACCUGGAUGCUUUCAAGUAGUCCAUCGAUCUGGGGGUCUAGAAUGUGAAGAACCUACAAGGUGGCUACCUCCUUGCUCAAGAGCGCAAAUUACACGCAGCCAGCAACCACUGAUCAACCAUCAACAAAUCGAUGUAUCUAUCAGCCAUUUUCUUAUGAAGAAGAUUUAGUCAGCUAUGUUCAGAGAUGAGGUUAAACUGGAAGUGAUUCUUUCUACUUCUCCAAAAAGAUAACUCCGUUGGAGUACAUAGUUGAGUUGAGCCAUGUAGUAGGAUAUUAGUGUAGUUGACGAAGGUUUCAGCAAGAAAUUAUGUCUUAAAUCAUCAUUAACAUGACAUGUGAUUGUAUCUUGCACUAAUUCCAGCUGCUAAGUUCUCUAAUUAGUAAAGAAAAUAUUCUAAGUGGACGCUGGAAAUAGAUGUUCACUAGCAUGAUUCCUGAUUUAAUCUUCAAUUUUU